rnacentral:rRNA from 1 species
CUGCGGAGGACAUUAAUGAAUUCACUAUGGAGUUGUUGCUGGCCUCUAGGGGCAUGUGCACGCUUCACUAGUCUUUCAACCACCUGUGAACUUUUGAUAGAUCUGUGAAGUCGUCCUUCAAGUCGUCAGACUUGGUUUGCUGGGAUUUAAACGUCUCGGUGUGACAACGCAGUCUAUUUACUUAACACACCCCAAAUGUAUGUCUACGAAUGUCAUUUAAUGGGCCUUGUGCCUAUAAACCAUAAUACAACUUUCAACAACGGAUCUCUUGGCUCUCGCAUCGAUGAAGAACGCAGCGAAAUGCGAUAAGUAAUGUGAAUUGCAGAAUUCAGUGAAUCAUCGAAUCUUUGAACGCACCUUGCGCCCCUUGGUAUUCCGAGGGGCAUGCCUGUUUGAGUGUCAUUAAAUUCUCAAACUCACAUUUAUUUGUGAUGUUUGGAUUGUUGGGGGUUGCUGGCUGUAACAAGUCGGCUCCUCUUAAAUGCAUUAGCAGGACUUCUCAUUGCCUCUGCGCAUGAUGUGAUAAUUAUCACUCAUCAAUAGCACGCAUGAAUAGAGUCCAGCUCUCUAAUCGUCCGCAAGGACAAUUUGACAAUUUGACCUC